ensembl:lncRNA
GUAGAAUCAGAGGGGUGGUACAGCAAAGGUCAUGGGGCAGAGUCAGUCCCAAGUCAAGAUAGGCAAGUCCCAAGUCAAGUGAGCAAGCCCAACAAGUUCCAACGAUGGGGGUCAUAAAAAUUCAAUUUCUUUUUCAAUUCAAUUUUAUUUGUAUAGCGCCAAUUCAUAACAGAAGUUAUCUCAGGACACUUUUCAAAUAGAGCAGGUCUAGACCGAACUCUUCAACAUUAAAAAGCAAACGCUUCAUCCCCACCAUCCACUCUGUGAAUCACAAAAACAUUUAGAUAUGUGUAAUUCAUGAUCAGGCAAUAGGCUUUACAUGUUUAGCCCCACUCUCUGAAAAUACCACUUUAUGCAGCUUGCCUUUUGGGAAGACCUGAUGUCCUGAUGAUCACAAGAUAAACAGUGGAAACACUCUAAUCCUGUCACAGAUAACCUGGACCACCCUGCAUUGCUUUGCUGGAAACAACCCCUGAAGGUUGUCCUAACCUUGUGACAAAGCUGGAAUCCAUCUUGCUUGGCACAAGCUAUGCACUUCUGUCCGAAAACAGUGGUACCGGACCAAUCAGUGUCCUAUGAGGAACUUCUGGCAGCUACAGCAUCAGCUACUAGCGUGGUUUAACGUUGAGUGGCAUCUUAUGUUGCAGUCUCCAGCUAAUCCAAAGGACUUAACACUGCUGCACGGAUCAAAUACUCACAUACCACUUCAUACACAAACCAUGUGUUUGACAAAGGAUAAUGAACACAUGCUGAGCCCAUGUUUGAACUGAUUAUUCCAGACUACUGUCACAGGUUGAUCCAUUGUACAACCACUUACAGACGACUGGAGUCCUCACAUAUCAUAUGGAUACAUUUGCACUUAGCACAGGACUUUCUGUUCAUUAAAAAUGAUUGUUAGAUUGUGUGGGCAGUGAUACAACUUUUUUCCCUCAUUUAGGAAGAGCAGAAUCUAUAGUUAUAGUUAAAUAAAUGUAAAGUUAGAUAUCGUUUCAUACCACAGCCUACCAUUGUCAGAGCCAGGGGACAGAUGUGACAACCACAGAUACACAAAUGUAAUUAUACACAUUAGAAUUCACACGUGAAAAGUUGUACAGACUGAGCAACACAUACUCACUCCCAGCCCGUCAAAUUUGGCCACUUGGUCAUUGGCUCUACACUUCAAAUUAUGACGUUGUAGUCAGGGUACACAUGAGCUGGCAUAUGCCACCUUUUGGUCAGUAACACGUAUGGGAAAUAUCUUAGUGUAUUCACCUCAUUCCAUUCAUUAUGUUAAUACUGUUCGUACUGUUAAUAUCCUGCUAGUAUAUUCAUUCAAUUCUAUAAUGUUAUUUUUUUUAUAUAUCCCUGUACAUAUGCAAAUUACUCUGCACUUCACUGCUUUGCACUUCUGGUUAGAUGCUUAACUGCAUUUCGUUGCCCAGUACCUGUACUUGUGCAAUGACAAUAAAGUUGAAUCUAAUCUAAUCUAAUCUAAUCUAAUCUAAUCUAAUAUGCCUAAUAAAUAAAGACCUACAUAUUUACAUUAUACAUUACUAUAUUGAAUAGCAUAAUAUUGUGUGACCUAUAAGAUAUGUUGCUCUUCCUACCAUACGUGAGUACGUUACUUAAAAUAACAUACGGUUUCACAUGGGAAACAAACAGUGGCCUCCUGGGUUAAAGUCCUGGUUUUUUUUU